rnacentral:rRNA from 1 species
GAUGAACGCUGGCGGCGUGCCUAAUACAUGCAAGUCGAGCGAACAGACGAGGAGCUUGCUCCUCUGACGUUAGCGGCGGACGGGUGAGUAACACGUGGAUAACCUACCUAUAAGACUGGGAUAACUUCGGGAAACCGGAGCUAAUACCGGAUAAUAUAUUGAACCGCAUUGUUCAAUAGUGAAAGACGGUUUUGCUGUCACUUAUAGAUGGAUCCGCGCCGCAUUAGCUAGUUGGUAAGGUAACGGCUUACCAAGGCGACGAUGCGUAGCCGACCUGAGAGGGUGAUCGGCCACACUGGAACUGAGACACGGUCCAGACUCCUACGGGAGGCAGCAGUAGGGAAUCUUCCGCAAUGGGCGAAAGCCUGACGGAGCAACGCCGCGUGAGUGAUGAAGGCCUUCGGAUCGUAAAACUCUGUUAUUAGGGAAGAACAAAUGUGUAAGUAACUAUGCACGUCUUGACGGUACCUAAUCAGAAAGCCACGGCUAACUACGUG